rnacentral:rRNA from 1 species
AUUGAACGCUGGCGGCAUGCCUUACACAUGCAGGUCGAACGGCAGCACGGGUGCUUGCACCUGGUGGCGAGUGGCGAACGGGUGAGUAAUACAUCGGAACGUACCCAGUAGUGGGGGAUAACGCACCGAAAGGUGCGCUAAUACCGCAUACGACCUACGGGUGAAAGCGGGGGACCGUAAGGCCUCGCGCUAUUGGAGCGGCCGAUGUCUGAUUAGCUAGUUGGCGGGGUAAAAGCCCACCAAGGUGACGAUCAGUAGCUGGUCUGAGAGGACGAUCAGCCACACUGGGACUGAGACACGGCCCAGACUCCUACGGGAGGCAGCAGUGGGGAAUUUUGGACAAUGGGGGCAACCCUGAUCCAGCAAUGCCGCGUGUGCGAAGAAGGCCUUCGGGUUGUAAAGCACUUUUGUCAGGGAAGAAACAGCAGCUCUAACACAGUAUGCGAAUGACGGUACCUGAAGAAUAAGCACCGGCUAACUACGUGCCAGCAGCCGCCGUAA